UACAGGGGGUGCAAACGUUGCUCGGAAUUAUUGGGCGUAAAGCGCGCGUAGGCGGCCGCUUAAGUCGGAUGUGAAAGCCCCUGGCUCAACUGGGGAAGUGCACCCGAAACUGAGUGGCUUGAGUACUAAAGAGGGUCGCGGAAUUCCCAGUGUAGAGGUGAAAUUCGUAGAUAUCGGGAGGAACACCGGUGGCGAAGGCGGCGACCUGGGUAGAUACUGACGCUGAGGCGCGGAAGCGUGGGGAGCAAACAGG
rnacentral:rRNA from 1 species